GAUGAAGAACGUAGCAAAAUGCGAUAAGUAAUGUGAAUUGCAGAAUUCAGUGAAUCAUCGAAUCUUUGAACGCACAUUGCGCCCGCCAGUAUUCUGGCGGGCAUGCCUGUUCGAGCGUCAUUUCAACCCUCAAGCCCUCGGGUUUGGUGUUGGGGAUCGGCGAGCCUUUCUGGCAAGCCGGCCCCGAAAUCUAGUGGCGGUCUCGCUGCAGCCUCCAUUGCGUAGUAGUAAAACCCUCGCAACUGGAACGCGGCGCGGCCAAGCCGUUAAACCCCCAACUUCUGAAUGUUGACCUCGGAUCAGGUAGGAAUAACCGCUGAACUUAAGCAUAUCAAUAAGCGGAGGA
rnacentral:misc_RNA from 1 species